rnacentral:rRNA from 1 species
CCUACGGGCGGCAGCAGUGAGGAAUAUUGGUCAAUGGCCGGAAGGCUGAACCAGCCAUGCCGCGUGAAGGUCAGUGCCCUAUGGGCGUUAAACUUCUUUUGUGCGGGAGCAAUAAUGGUCACGUGUGGCCAGACGAGACUACCGUACGAAUAAGCAUCGGCUAACUCCGUGCCAGCAGCCGCGGUAAUACGGGGGAUGCAAGCGUUAUCCGGAUUUAUUGGGUUUAAAGGGUGCGUAGGCUGGGAGGUAAGUCAGCGGUGAAAUGCCCCCGCUCAACGGGGUGAAGUGCCAUUGAUACUGCCUGGCUGGAAUGCGGAUGCCGUGGGAGGAAUGUGUGGUGUAGCGGUGAAAUGCAUAGAUAUCACACAGAACACCGAUUGCGAAGGCAUCUCACGAAUCCGCGAUUGACGCUGAUGCACGAAAGCGUGGGUAUCAAACAGGAUUAGAUACCCCAGUAGUC